ACAGGGGGUUGGGAGGGUCCUGAGGUAUUACAUGGGGUGUCGUGAGCUGUCAAUCUCCACCCCAAACCCUGCUUUGCCUCCAGCAUUUAUAAGGGUGUUAAAUACAUAAAAAAGUGUUUUUAAUUUAUAAGGGAGGUCGCACUCAGAGGCUUCAUAUGUAAAAGGGGUCACCAGU